rnacentral:rRNA from 1 species
AUUGAACGCUGGCGGCAGGCUUAACACAUGCAAGUCGAGCGGAGAUUAGGUGCUUGCACCUUAUCUUAGCGGCGGACGGGUGAGUAAUGAUUAGGAAUCUGCCUAUUAGUGGGGGACAACAUUCCGAAAGGAAUGCUAAUACCGCAUACGUCCUACGGGAGAAAGCAGGGGAUCUUCGGACCUUGCGCUAAUAGAUGAGCCUAAGUCGGAUUAGCUAGUUGGUGGGGUAAAGGCCUACCAAGGCGACGAUCUGUAGCGGGUCUGAGAGGAUGAUCAGCCACACUGGGACUGAGACACGGCCCAGACUCCUACGGGAGGCAGCAGUGGGGAAUAUUGGACAAUGGGGGGAACCCUGAUCCAGCCAUGCCGCGUGUGUGAAGAAGGCCUUAUGGUUGUAAAGCACUUUAAGCGAGGAGGAGGCUACUGAGACUAAUACUCUUGGAUAGUGGACGUUACUCGCAGAAUAAGCACCGGCUAACUCCGUGCCAGCCGCCGCCGUAAGAC